rnacentral:sRNA from 1 species
GGGUUUUACUCCUGGAUGUUACCGUAUCGUCCAACCGAAGCUGGACGUCGUUUUGGUGUCUGACUCGGUAACCGAAUCGGGAGCACCAUCUGCGUAGGCAAUGUUUAAGGCCAGUCUUAAACACAUGGCCACCUACGGUCUUGGACAGCCCCCGCCAGGCAGGGACCCCAAUAGUGUGAGCGAAGCCAAGGCUUCGCU